ensembl:ncRNA Y73F8A.1164 ncRNA
CAAAAAGUUUACCGCAGUCAGCAGGAUUCGAACCUACGCGGGCAGAGCCCAAUUGAUUUCUAGUCAAUCUCCUUAACCACUCGGACAUGACUGCUG